AUGGCGACCGGCGCACGGGUGAGUAACACGUAUCCAACCUGCCGAUGACUCGGGGAUAGCCUUUCGAAAGAAAGAUUAAUACCCGAUGGCAUAGUUCUUCCGCAUGGUAGAACUAUUAAAGAAUUUCGGUCAUCGAUGGGGAUGCGUUCCAUUAGGUUGUUGGUGAGGUAACGGCUCACCAAACCUUCGAUGGAUAGGGGUUCUGAGAGGAAGGUCCCCCACAUUGGAACUGAGACACGGUCCAA
rnacentral:rRNA from 1 species